rnacentral:ncRNA from 2 species
GUGUCAUCGAGAGCGGAGGAGGGACGGGCCCGAUGAAUCCGCGACAACCAGCACAGGUGUGCCAGGUGCCAAUGCCCGAUCGAUGAUUU